rnacentral:rRNA from 1 species
CAGCCGUAAACUAUGCGCGUUAGGUGUAUCGGUGACCACGAGUUACCGAGGUGCCGAAGGGAAACCGUGAAACGUGCCGCCUGGGAAGUACGGUCGCAAGGCUGAAACUUAAAGGAAUUGGCGGGGGGAGCAACAACAACGGGUGGAGCCUGCGGUUUAAUUGGACUCAACGCCGGACAACUCACCGGGGACGACAGCAAUAUGUAGGCCAGGCUGAAGACCUUGCCUGAAUCGCUGAGAGGAGGUGCAUGGCGUAGACGUCU